CGCGUAAGGGUGCGUAACACGUGGGUAAUUUGCCGCGAAGUCAGGAAUAACUUGCCGAAAGGCGAGCUAAUACCUGAUGUGGUUGAAUGCAGGCAUCUGUGAUCAACCAAAGCCGGGGACCGUAAGGCCUGGCGCUUCGCGAUAAGCCCGCGGCCUAUCAGCUAGUUGGUGAGGUAACGGCUCACCAAGGCUAAGACGGGUAGCUGGUCUUAGAGGACGACCAGCCUCACUGGAACUGAGACACGGUCCAGACACCUACGGGUGGCAGCAGUCGAGAAUUUUUCACAAUGGGGGAAACCCUGAUGGAGCGACGCCGCGUGGGGGAUGAAUGGCUUCGGCCCGUAAACCCCUGUCAUUCGGGAUCAAUGCUGGCGACCUAACACGUUGUCAGUUGAUAGUACUGAAAGAGGAAGGGACGGCUAACUCUGUGCCAGCAGCCGCGGUAAUACAGAGGUCCCAAGCGUUGUUCGGAUUUACUGGGCGUAAAGGGCGCGUA
rnacentral:rRNA from 1 species